rnacentral:sRNA from 22 species
AUCACCGGUGGGGAACCCCAUACGGCAACGGCGUAGAAGUAAAUGCUAACCAAUCCGUGGUAUCUACGCGACGGAGCAUCCACGGAUAACUCUAACAAGGAGA